rnacentral:rRNA from 1 species
AUUGAACGCUGGCGGCAGGCCUAACACAUGCAAGUCGAGCGGAUGAGUGGAGCUUGCUCCAUGAUUCAGCGGCGGACGGGUGAGUAAUGCCUAGGAAUCUGCCUGGUAGUGGGGGACAACGUUUCGAAAGGAACGCUAAUACCGCAUACGUCCUACGGGAGAAAGCAGGGGACCUUCGGGCCUUGCGCUAUCAGAUGGGCCUAGGUAGGAUUAGCUAGUUGGUGAGGUAAAGGCUCACCAAGGCGACGAUCCGUAACUGGUCUGAGAGGAUGAUCAGUCACACUGGAACUGAGACACGGUCCAGACUCCUACGGGAGGCAGCAGUGGGGAAUAUUGGACAAUGGGCGAAAGCCUGAUCCAGCCAUGCCGCGUGUGUGAAGAAGGUCUUCGGAUUGUAAAGCACUUUAAGUUGGGAGGAAGGGCAGUAAGUUAAUACCUUGCUGUUUUGACGUUACCGACAGAAUAAGCACCGGCUAACUUCGUGCCAGCAGCCGCGGUAAGAC